rnacentral:rRNA from 1 species
UACGUAGGGACCAAGCGUUGUUCGGAUUUACUGGGCGUAAAGCGCGCGCAGGCGGUUCUGUAAGUCCUGGGUGAAAUCGCCCGGCUCAACUGGGCGGGGGCCUGGGGGACUGCGGGACUGGAGGGGCCUAGAGGCCGGUGGAACUCCCGGUGUAGUGGUGAAAUGCGUAGAGAUCGGGAAGAACACCAGUGGCGAAGGCGGCCGGCUGGGGGCGCCCUGACGCUGAGGCGCGAGAGCGUGGGGAGCGAACCGG